CUAGAAAUAUGUCUGAUAAAAGAGUUACUUUGAUGGAGUGAAUAAUAGAGGCUCUAAUCCUCUUAUUUC
rnacentral:tRNA from 1 species